GACGAACGCUGGCGGCGUGCUUAACACAUGCAAGUCGAACGGAAAGGCCCUUCGGGGUCCUCGAGUGGCGAACGGGUGAGUAACACGUGGGUGAUCUGCCCUGCACUUUGGGAUAAGCCUGGGAAACUGGGUCUAAUACCGAAUAUGAUCAUCGGCUUCAUGGUCGGUGGUGGAAAGCUUUUGCGGUGUGGGAUGGGCCCGCGGCCUAUCAGCUUGUUGGUGGGGUAAUGGCCUACCAAGGCGACGACGGGUAGCCGGCCUGAGAGGGUGACCGGCCACACUGGGACUGAGAUACGGCCCAGACUCCUACGGGAGGCAGCAGUGGGGAAUAUUGCACAAUGGGCGCAAGCCUGAUGCAGCGACGCCGCGUGAGGGAUGACGGCCUUCGGGUUGUAAACCUCUUUCAGCACAGACGAAGCGCAAGUGACGGUAUGUGCAGAAGAAGAACCGGCCAACUACGUG
rnacentral:rRNA from 1 species